AACUGGUCGAGAGCUGAUGCCGCUCUCCUGAUGAGGCCAUGGCAGGCCGAAACCAGUU
rfam:Eucalyptus grandis cultivar BRASTZ1 unplaced genomic scaffold scaffold_11, whole genome shotgun sequence.